AACGAACGCUGGCGGCAUGCCUAACACAUGCAAGUCGAACGGUACCUUCAGGCAUAUUGGCGCACGGCUGCGGAGCGCGGGGGGAGCUGCCCUUGUGUUGGGAAUAACUCGCCGAAGGGGGUGAUCUUAUCGGAACGGUUCCUCGGACCAAAGAUUUAUGGACUUUGAAUGGGGCCGAGUUUGAGUCGCUUGGUGGUAGGGUAAGAGCAUACGAAGGGGGCGAUCCGUAGAUGGGCUGAGAGGCUGAGCAGCCACACUGGGACUGAGACGCGAUCCAGACUCCUACGCGAGGGGGGAGAGGGGAAUACAGGAAAAUGGGCGAAAGGCUGAAGGCGCAAUGCCGGGUGAGUGAUGAAGGCCUUGGGGUUGUAAAGCUCUUUUACCCGGGAUGAUAAUGACAGUACCGGGAGAAUAAGCACCGGCUAACUCCGUG
rnacentral:rRNA from 1 species